GUUACCUUACUCUUCUAUAUCUCUUUGUGUUUAUUAAGUUAUGUAGCUAAAUAUGAAUGUGACCAAAACAUUUCUUAAUCUUUCUGCCUGGCCUUUUUUCAUUUAAAUUCUUCCUUAGUUAGCAAUCUUGUCUGUAUUUCUGACUUGGAAGCCAUCUACAAGUCAGACCUCACAACACAGCUGUAGAUGAAGAAAAGAAAAUCUAAAAAUCUGUGCUGGAAAGGAGGGCACGAAGAAGAUCGGUGGCCAACUGCACUGUUGCUAUCAAACCCAAAUCAAUUAAAAGGCUCUGCUGUACCAAUGCCUUUUCUGAUCUUCAUUUGAAGUGACAAGCAUCAAUGUUACUUCAGGACACUGUAGUUCAGAUUUUGUGGAUCUUUGAAAAUCUGAGUCUCAACUCAAGCAACAAUGUUUGACGUAUGUUCAUCCCUAAUGAAAUCAAAACUGAGUUGACCUGAUAUGGACUGACUCUAAAUGAAUCAGAAGCAUAAAAGUUUGGAGUAAGACCUAAUUAUUUUCAAAAAAUAUUUCCCACUUGUAAUCUUAUUUGUAAUCCUAGCUGUAUUAAUCUUUAUGGUGAUGAAAUGUAAUGAAACAGCAAAUGUUUUUUAUGUGGACUUCUGUGCUAAUUAAUGUGAUAAUGGUGGUUCUCACAAUAUAUAGAUAGUUCAUCAAACUACUAAAACCAGCACUUCACAUUAACUGUAAAUUGUUUAAAAUACUCCUUGGCUUUCAAAGACCCUGGAUACAUUUUGUCGUCAAUUCCAAAAAAUCUGUUUAUGAACAUUCACAAGUAUCUAAUCUAUUUUAAAUGUGUGACUGUCACUAAAUAGGACAUACUGAUGUGUUUUCAUUCUCCAACAACUUAAUUUAAACAUCUAAUCCCUGAACACAGACAGUGUAAGCAGGAAGGGAAGCGUUAUUUGUGUCAUGGGAGAAGAUAGAUAAUAAAUCCAUGCUUUCUGACUGAAACCAAAACAAACCAACAACCAAAAAAAAAAAAACCAACAACAACAACAAACUUUCAGAUAGCAGAUAUUCAAAUGCCUAUUGUACUUUUUGAUCUUUUGUGAUUAGCUUUUGCAUUGUGUCCCGUGAACUGAAUAUUUUCUUUUUACACUUAUGGGAAAGUAAUAAAAUUGCUACAUAC